rnacentral:rRNA from 1 species
CAAUGGCGUAUAUUAAAGUUGUUGCAGUUAAAAAGCUCGUAGUUGGAUUUCUGGCAGGAGCGACCGGUCGGCCCAAGUGGUGUGUACUAGUGUUGCAUCUGGCCAUAUUUGUGGAGAGCGUGUGUGGCAUUAAUUUGUUGUGCACGGGACCCGCAUCGUUUACUGUGAGAAAAUUAGAGUGUUCAAAGCAGGCUUAUGCCUUGGAUAUGUUAGCAUGGAAUAAUAAGAUAAGACUUUGGCGGUCUAUUUUUGUUGGUUUGCACGCCAUUGUAAUGAUUGAUAGGGACAGUUGGGGGUAUUCAUAUUUAAUUGUCAGAGGUGAAAUUCUUGGAUUUAUGAAAGAUGAACUACUGCGAAAGCAUUUACCAAGGAUGUUUUCAUUA